UGAAUUCGAAAAGUUGUAACGCAAUCGGGGAAGGUAAGAGAAACAAAUUAAGAGGAUUAUAAUUGAAAUGUAAAUGAAAUUUGGGAGUGGAAUUUAAGAAUGUAGAAUUGGUUACGUUCCUGAUUCUACAAUUAGAAAUCAAAUGAAAUCGAAUAGUAAUUAAUUUUGGAAAAAAAAAAAGACAAACCAGUGAAUACAUUUCUAGAAUAAUAAUAAUAUCCUAAUUAUAGCGUACUCCAUAUUUUCACAAGGCAGCCUUCAGUUUUUAGGUGUGUGCAGCGAAGAAAAAUACUCAUUUUCCAGCAGCAAAAACCAUCCCCGUGUUCUUUUCCUUCCCUUUCAUUCCACCCCGAAACUUUUUAUGGAUGUCAAUCUUGUAGUAAUCUGUAGUCCUCAAAUACUAUGAUCAAAGUAAUCUGAGUUUCAAUAUAUUUACACAAGAACAAUAAAAGAAAGCUUGCAACAUUACAAGUCAAUUCUUUCACCAUUGAUUUUGUUGUCUCUUCUCACAUUAAGCAUCACUUACUUCCAAAUGAAAUACUUUUACGAUCAUUCAUCAAAAUUUCUCGAAAUUAAAGUUGCACUCUCCGGUUUCUAGCCAUCUCACCCAUUAUGCACUUGUCUAGUCCCGAUCAUCUACGUUGUGCCCAUAGUCUUAUGUUGGUUUUAGCCAGAAAUAACACCAACAAAGCUGAUUAUUCUAGAUCCAUAUUGCAGAUUGCAUUAGUUUUCCUAACCCUCCAAGCAUGGGAUCCAUUUCUAUACAGGAUCGAAGUUGCAUCAAGGUGCUACAGACAAAAGAAAUUACCAAUAUAGAAAAUACAAACUUAGGUAUUUUUGAAAAUAUACAUCCAAAGAGACGCACAUUAAAUGGAGUGCAUUAAAGCCAAAAACUAAGAAUAUUAGUACGACAAGAAGAAGAAAUAGAAGCUUUUACAAGAAUAUCAUCUCACCCACAAAAUUCUUUUUUUUUAUAUAAUGACUAUAACUUAGAAAAAAUACGUAUUUUGUUAAAAUAUUUACACACACAUAUUGUUCAAAUGACAGAUAAUGAAAGUCUGCCCAUGAGCUCUCAACAUUUCAACUAAUUAGAUUUUCGGACAUCGAAUGAGGUGGACAUAAAUAAAAAGAAAUAGAUAAUUAAUAUGGGCAUUGCAUCACAAGAGAAAACUUUAACUUUCAAAAGCAGGAGUCUUAACAAUUUUGUAGAGUAUAUAUCAUAGACUGUGAGGAUGUGAAAACAAACUGAGCUAUGAAAAAAACCAUUAAGAGAAGGUGCUUUCUCACUUUUGAAGAAAUGGUUAUGAAACUCACCAAAAAAAAAGCUAUCUUUCCGAAUUAUUCAGGGGAAAAAAUUUAAAUUGAGUCAAAAAAAUAAAUCACAAUUUAGUUCAGUUCUCACCAAAAGAGAGAUGCAUCUGCUAACGAUUAUUCUUCCACCUAUAUUCAUGACAUAUCCGCUCAUUCUUAGUAGAUCAAAACCCUAACAAUAACAAACAUAGGGUAUAACAAAUGAUUAUAUUCAAACAAACCCACAAAUUUUAGACAACAAACAUCAUAUGUUCAACAAUGAUAAAAUAGCUAGCGAUAAAGUUUUAAGAUUUCAAUGAAAUUCAGUGUGGGUAUCAGAAUAACUAACCUGUAGGAGAGAGAGCGGAACGUCAACUGGGGUUCUUUUUGUUGCUUUUAUUGGUAAUAUGACGGAGCGUUUUUUUCAGUAAAGGAGCGUUUCAAUAUGGUGACUUUUGGAUUUCCAGAUACAGCUU
rnacentral:lncRNA from 1 species